rnacentral:misc_RNA from 1 species
GGAACAGAAAUUGAUGGAGAAGGAGAGUUCCAGGAGGCAGCAAGAAAUUGAUAACCACAUCUAUCUUGCUCGUGAAAAAAGCCUCACAGAUGCCAAUUAUUACCGUGUAUUAAAAGAAGCUGAAGCCAACAAGUUGAAGCUUACACCCCAGUUUCUCGAGCUUAAAUUUAUCGAGGCCAUUGCUGAUAAUACAAAGAUUUUCUUUGGGGACAAGGUUCCGAACAUGAUUUUCGAUCAGAGGUUGCUCGGAAACUUCCUGCAUCAGGUGGCGGAAAAUGAAUCAAUAAAAGCCUCUGGGGAGGGAAACUUAGAAAUGUAGAUCCAAGAUUCAUCUUCUAAUGGUCAGGAAACAAUGGCGUUUGAUGGGGUUGUCGUUUCUCAUGUUCGACCGGAUAAAGUCCAACGGGAAGCAAUUUUCAUGAUGUGAUAUAUUUGACAAACUUAAGUAAAUACCCGUUGGAAUUGCCUUUUGUUGUUUAGCACACAAGUCUGGUUCACAAAUUUUGAGCACGUACCAAAUGUGAUUUGAGCUUCUCUUGAAAAUAA